ACGAGUCUAAAAGUCAUGUUAAAACCUGCUCUGUUUGACUUGGCUGAACUAGACGAAUGUGAAGGGGGGGACGAGAGAGAGGGAGAGAGAGAGUGAACGGGCCCGAGAGACAGAGUAUUGGUGGUGGUGGAGUUAAAAGACUACAAUUGACCAGUUCUUAAAGUAAUUGACUGUGGGGAACCCGAACCGUUGCUGAAUGGAGGGGUGACGUUCAUAUCUAGCUCUCAGAACCAGCAUCUCUCAGUCAUUUAGUACCACUGCAAUGAGCUGUACUACACUCUCUCUAAAAGAGUUAAUGAGGACCUGAGCCCUAGGACCAUGCCUCAGGACUACCUGGCUUGAUGACUCCUUGCUAUCCUCAGUCCACCUGGUUGUGCUGCUCCAGUUUCAACUGUUCUGCCUGUGGCUAUGGAACUCUGACCUGUUUACUGGAUAUGCUACCUUGUCCCGGACCUGCUGUUUUCGACUCU